AAAACAAUAGUAUAGCUGUCGUUCUCCUGCAUUAUUUUGGCCUUAUUGGGGUUCGGCCAAUCCCAGUCGUCGCGGUGACGUCAUUACGUUGUUCCCCUCAGCGCGCUGUGUUGUAAUUAGCGGCUGCAGCAUUCAGGCGUGCAGGAGCGGUGGGGAAGCCACACACGAGAGAGUUGCAGCUCUGUUUUCAGCUAUUUUCGCUAUUUUAAUUGUAAUACUUGUUUUAAACUCUUAGGAGCCCCUUAUCGUAGCCAAAUCAGAGACGGACGACGGAGUGAGAGAGUAGAUGCAAAUCGUGGAACUGGCCAGGUCCUUGAUUGAUGGCGAGCUUAAUGGAGCCCUGAACCUAAAGCAAAGCAACUGCUGAAGAACUGAGUCGCACCUCUCCUGCCAGGCUGGUAGGGGGCUCUUUGUGGCCCACAAACUCUCCCCACUCAAAACCUUGAAUUGUCCGCCUUGCCCACAUACAAUCUUUUUUUCCACAAACCCCUCCCAUGCGCACUUUUCCUCCUGGACAAUCACAUUCAACCCAGACGUGGGUUACAUGAACUGUGGGUUGGGUUGGUACAUCGGGGUCAAUUCCCAAGUGUUGGGAAUUUUGUGGACUCAUUUGUGCUUUGCAUUGACAUUCGAAUUGUAUAUCAAUGUUUCUGAGUCAUGUCCUGAAGUUGCAUAGUUAAUGAAUUAUUUUGAAUAUUCAUUAUUGAAUGGCCAUUUGUGAGUUACUGUUUGUUAUUCACUGUAAAUAUUUGCACUGUUGGCUGUCUUGUAUGUUUAAAGAAAUAUUCAAUAUAUGGUACCUGCAAAUACAAAA